rnacentral:lncRNA from 1 species
AUUUGUGUUCAGUCUCUGAUUAGUGUUUUGUUUUUGAAAAUUGCAAGUGUAUGCUUUUUUAAUCUAAAAUCAAGUCUCUUAUAUGUUUUUUGUUGAUGUAGAUGGAGAAGGAGGCGGAUGGUAAUCACUGUUAAAGCUGGUGUAGGCUCAAAACGAUAUAAGCACACCAGCUUGUUCAUUGAUAACCAGCCGCCUCCUUGUUGAAGAGAAGAAGAUACAAGAUCCAACUGAACAUGUAUGGUCUUACUUUAUUUUGUCCCUGCUUGUCGAAUCAUAUUGAUAACCAGCCGCUUAUAAUUUUCUUCUUUACACGUCUUUUUUUUUGUUUGUUUUCUGUCUUGAAGGAUUGGAUUUAUCACAAGGAGAACAAGAGUCCGUUGAGCAGCUGCUCCAGUAGUUACCAGCUUCGUCCAAUGUAGGUGCUUUAAUGACCUCAGGUUAGUAAGUUGUCUAUAGAACACAGUCGAGAUUAGAUGGCUUUGCAUAGGUUAUCGAAUCACUGACUUGUUUAGAGAAAGAGUGUCGUUGAUAUUGUUGUGGUGAAUGAAGCACAAGUUGUAAUAGAAAAAAAAUACAGAACAAGAUGAAUAUAUGUAAAACUUUGUUAAGCUCCAAUAGUAGAUGGGUCAUGUGUUCAUAUAUCAUUCAUUAUGUGCACUUAGGUAUGUAGUGGUCACUGGAGCAGCCUGCAGCGUCGAGAAACGUCAUGCUGCACUCCUUUCGCGUCCAGCCCGCGGGACGGCUUGUAAGGGACUGUGCAAUUAGGCGGUACGGGACUGGGCCGGCUUUCUCUAGACCGCAGCCCGCGCGGGACGGGACCGCCUGGACCCGCGAGAUGCUGAGCCCGCGGCGGGUCGGGACGGGACGGGACGGUUCAACCUGUUUGACAUUCCUACUCAGACGUCUGAGGACUCGAUUAACCAGGCUGUAUGAUAGGAUGAUUAUCUGUUUUGUCUGUUUGUAUAAUAUAUAUUUUUUUUAUGUUUUUGUGCUGUCGUUGAAAACAUAUAUAUAUUUUCAAUGGAUUAUUGGG